AUUGAACGCUGGCGGAAUGCUUUACACAUGCAAGUCGAACGGCAGCACGGACUUCGGUCUGGUGGCGAGUGGCGAACGGGUGAGUAAUACAUCGGAACGUGCCCAGUCGUGGGGGAUAACGUAGCGAAAGCUACGCUAAUACCGCAUACGAUCUACGGAUGAAAGCGGGGGAUCGCAAGACCUCGCGCGAUUGGAGCGGCCGAUGGCAGAUUAGGGAGUUGGUGGGGUAACGGCUCACCAAGCCGACGAUCUGUAGCUGGUCUGAGAGGACGACCAGCCACACUGGGACUGAGACACGGCCCAGACUCCUACGGGAGGCAGCAGUGGGGAAUUUUGGACAAUGGGCGCAAGCCUGAUCCAGCCAUUCCGCGUGCAGGAUGAAGGCCCUCGGGUUGUAAACUGCUUUUGUACGGAACGAAAAGGCUCUGGUUAAUACCCGGGGCUCAUGACGGUACCGUAAGAAUAAGCACCGGCUAACUACGUGCCAGCAGCCGCCGUAAUAC
rnacentral:rRNA from 1 species